rnacentral:lncRNA from 1 species
GUCUACCCAACAGGCUUGGUGAGCAUGAAACUGGAGCCACAAUGGUGUCAGACUUAACACAGGUGUCCACCUCCAUCAUGGACAUGGCUUAACCAAUGGACGCAGAGAUCAUAUAACCUGACUAUGCCGGCAACUGCAGAUGCAAAAAAAGGAGGAGUUUGGAAAUAGGAUCAGUGUACUGGAUAAGAACAAGAAUUCUGGAGCCAGGAUGCAGAAGCUGAGGGUGGCAACCUUUUCUAUCCUGUUCACAGUCGCAUCCCACGCCCAGCACAGUGACUGACUGUCCCAUCAUAGGUGCUCAAGAGUUGUUUGUUGAGUGAAAAGAUAAAUAAAAUAUUUUAAAAUCCUUGGAAGUGGGUUCUGAAGCUGGGCCUUCGAAUGCCUGAGAGCAUUUAGCGAGACACUGAGUAUACACAGGGCACUUAAUCAAUUCCUGAUUGAAGAACAACUCUCCCCUGGGAACCCUGCAACUCUUGUCCUCACAGCAUCAGACCAACCGUGCACCUGGUUUGGGGGGGCUGGGAAGCAUGUGGCCUAAUCCCCAGGUCAGAG